rnacentral:tRNA from 1 species
GGGGAUUUAGCUCAGCGGCAUAAGCGCCUGCCUUGCAAGCAGGCUGUCAGGAGUUUGAUCCCCG